GCCGGGCGCAGUGGUGCAUGCUUGUAGUCCCAGCUACUCAGGAGGCUGAGGCUGGAGGAUCACUUGAACCCAAGAGCUCUGGGCUGUAGUGCACUAUGCCGAUAGGGUGUCCGCACUAAGUUCGGCAUCAAUAUGGUGACCUCCUGGGAGUGGGGGACCACCAUGUGCCUAAGAAGGGGUGAACUGGCACAGGUCAGAAAUGGAGCAGAGAUCAAAACUCCCGUGCUGAUCAGUAGUGGGAUGGCACUUGUGAAUAGCCACUGCACUCCAGCCUGGGCAACACAGCAAGACCCAUCUCA
rnacentral:SRP_RNA from 1 species